rnacentral:rRNA from 1 species
AGUGAACGCUGGCGGUAGGCCUAACACAUGCAAGUCGAACGGCAGCACAGUAAGAGCUUGCUCUUACGGGUGGCGAGUGGCGGACGGGUGAGGAAUACAUCGGAAUCUACUUUUUCGUGGGGGAUAACGUGGGGAAACUUACGCUAAUACCGCAUACGACCUACGGGUGAAAGCAGGGGAUCUUCGGACCUUGCGCGAUUGAAUGAGCCGAUGUCGGAUUAGCUAGUUGGCGGGGUAAAGGCCCACCAAGGCGACGAUCCGUAGCUGGUCUGAGAGGAUGAUCAGCCACACUGGAACUGAGACACGGUCCAGACUCCUACGGGAGGCAGCAGUGGGGAAUAUUGGACAAUGGGCGCAAGCCUGAUCCAGCCAUACCGCGUGGGUGAAGAAGGCCUUCGGGUUGUAAAGCCCUUUUGUUGGGAAAGAAAAGCAGUAGGUUAAUACCCCGCUGUUCUGACGGUACCCAAAGAAUAAGCACCGGCUAACUUCGUG